rnacentral:rRNA from 1 species
GAUGAACGCUGGCGGCGUGCCUAAUACAUGCAAGUCGAGCGAACGGACGAGAAGCUUGCUUCUCUGAUGUUAGCGGCGGACGUGUGAGUAACACGUGGAUAACCUACCUAUAAGACUGGGAUAAUUUCGGGAAACCGGAGCUAAUACCGUAUAAUAUUUUGAACCGCAUGGUUCAAAAGUGAAAGACGGUCUUGCGGUCACUUAUAGAUGGAUCCGCGCUGCAUUAGCUAGUUGGUAAGGUAACGGCUUACCAAGGCAACGAUGCAUAGCCGACCUGAGAGGGUGAUCGGCGACCCUGGAACUGAGCCGACGUCCAGACUCCUACGGGAGGCAGCAGUAGGCAAUCUUACGCAAUGGGCGAAAGCCUGACGGAGCAACGCGGCGUCAGUGAUGACGGUCUUCGGAUCGUAAAACUCUGUUAUUAGGGAAGAACAUAUGUGUAAGUAACUGUGCACAUCUUGACGGUAACUAAUCAGAAAGCCACGGCUAACUACGUG